rnacentral:lncRNA from 1 species
UGCCACAAUCAUUUCCCUAUACAUCCUAGCAAGAAGGAAAAACAAUUAAGACCAAUUAACCUACAUCCUGGAUUGUAUACUGGAGCUCCCUACUUUUCCACGGGGAGGAGGGCAACGUAUUUCAUUACUCGUUCUUCAGAUCCAGGACCUUUUUGUAUCUGCUUUAGGGUUUGGCCGAUAAUAGCCCUGUGAAGCAGGUAGGAGAUGGUUUUGACUCAUUUGUCUGUUCAUGUUAAUUGUAUUUCUUUCUUCAGUCAUUUAUUUAUUUAUUUAUUUGGAACUCUGAUUUAGUAUUAGUAUAGGACCUCCCCUGGGGAGGAAACAUUCACAAUGCAGACCAGCAGUCUAGUUUAGAGAGUGAGUUUGCUUAUGGCGGGGUACGAAGAGGUGAAAUGACUUGCUCAAAGUCACACGGCUAGUAAUGCUGUCAGAGACCGCACUUGAACACUGGUCUUUUUAGCUUCACAUCAAGCGCCCUCCCUAUCCCUAGAGUCAGGCUGUCUCUCAAGCAAAGAUUAAUACCCCGAUUUUAUGUCAAUUGGGGGUGGGGGGGGGAAGGAAAGCUUCUUCUAGGUCUGCCUGGAAACCCAAGGGUUUAGAGAAGGGAGGUAACUUCGUAAGAUCACAAAUGCUGGAGUCCAAACUUGAACUCAGGAGUCCUGCCUUCUGGUCCAGGACACCAUGCUUCCCUAUCUCCCCUAGGUGCUUUCCCCAUAAAAAUAUCCCUCGUUCCCUUUUAUCCCCCGUUUUCUCACCUGCAAAGGGAGGGCUCGGGACUCGAUGGACUGUCUUUAAUCUCCCCUUCAGCUUUAAAUCUCCCAUCCUUGGUAGUCUCUUCAGAGCCCUGCGUGCUCCCAACGUUCCCUGCUGUCCGUCCUGGAAGAUCUCUCUCUCUCUCUCUCUCUCUCUCUCUCUCUCUCUCUCUCUCUCUCUCUCUCUCUCUCUGUCUCUCUGUCUCUCUCCCCCCUUUCUCUCUCUCUCCCCCCUCUCUCCCCCUCUCUCCCUCCCAUCCCCCCGUCCUCCAGUAAUCCCCUCUUCUUCCCUCCCUGGCAGGCUAAAGGAGCCAGCGCACAUGCUCACAGAUGCUGGGAUUGCCCAGGGAGCGGCUGGCUGCCAGGAGCCAUUUCAAAGACAGCAUUGCCGGGCACGCGCAGCGCUAAAACCGAGAAACCGAGAGAGAACCAGAAAGAAACGCUGCUUCCAGUGCAAGAAUAAUGGCAUGUUGGCAGGGAUGCUGACCAGACCUGAGCUUACCUGUGCUGACUGGACCUGGCUGGUGUGCCUAGGCUAG